AAAGAAAUCAGAGAGAGACCGAAAGUUCAUAGGAGUAGCACACUCACUGAGGAGACAGGGACUCUGGGAAAAAUAGGGUAAAAAUGCGUGAGCAGGUCACGACUUGAAAACUUGCUGGGAGACACGAAGGGAUUCCUUGAAAAUAAAUCAAUGGAAAGACUCGAGCUGACGCAAGGAUGCAUGUAUUGAGGAAUAUGCCAAUACAACAAAACUAUCCAUAAAGGAUACUUCGGAUAAAAAUCCAGACUCAGACGGGG
rnacentral:lncRNA from 1 species